rnacentral:snRNA from 1 species
ACUCAGGUGCAAGGGUUUUACGCUUAACAGUGAAGGUUCGCCUGAGUUAGUGUUUUUGCUAGUGUAAGAUUGAC